GGCCUCGUAGCUCAGUUGGUAGAGCAUUGGACUAGUAUCCCAAAGGUCGCGGGUUUUAUUCCCACCGUGGUCA
rnacentral:tRNA from 1 species